CACCUCUCCUAGACCCCAUUUAAGGGCUGACUGCCACUAAGGAAGGGUUUCUUGUUGGAGAUCCCUUCUUUUGGAGUUUUCUGUUGCGAGCCUAGGAUAUGAUCAGUGGGAGCUUCACUGGACUGCCAUGGCUACUCUGUUAUGACAAGUAGUGGCACGGCAACUUCAUCUGCCAUUUCCCUCUGGACCCUUAGAUGCAUCUUAUCUGAUCCCAUGGACUUGUUCUCUUUCAAGCUUGAGACCAUCUAAGGUUCUCACAUCGUACUGCCUUUGAUUUCAGGGCAGAUCUACAACAUCCUGCAGAAGAAAAUUAGGUUGAAGACAAGUCUGUAAUUGUGAAGAUAUUUUUCCACUCUCUGACAGGUUACUCAUUAGCAAUAUUAUGAAUAGGAGAUAGGUUGUUAAGCUUGGAUUAAAUGUCUUAAAUCAUUACGCUCUAUCUUAUUUCAUUGUUGAAUGGGAUUUAAAAAAAAAAAAAAGGCUGUAAGUUUUCCUAAGAAAAGGUACAAGAUAGAUAUAAAAUUUUAAAAUAAAGGUUUUUUUCCUUUAAA